rnacentral:lncRNA from 1 species
GAAGACUGCACGUCACAGUCUGACUGACGUACCCGGCCCCAGCACCCAAUCGCGAGGCGCCUUCGGAUUCAAGGGGGGAUAGCGAGGCAAGAGAACUUGGGAGGAAAAAAAAAUAUAAAAGGGGUGGGGGUGGAGGGGCUGGGAAGAGAGGAGGGGAGAGGGGGGCCCCCCUGCGCUCCCCCCUCCCCCGCGCCUCCAUCCCCGGCCUCCACCCCCCCCACCCCCACCCCCCUGCCCCCGCCCUGCCACCGCUUCGGGGCGACGGGAUCGCCGCGCCGGGGCCGGAGCGAGCCAUCUGCGGGCACCGUGCAAAGCGGGCGACGGCGCGAGCGGCGCUCGGCUCGCACUAGCUCGUCCAGGACGCAGAUGGCAAACCUUUCCUCCAGAAGGAACCAAUGAAACUGCAGGACAAAAAGUUCUAUUCAAGAAGGGAACAAGAAGAAGGGGAAAAAAGAUCAACAGUCCUAGGUAAAGCUAAAACAAAUGUGUAUCAUCUGUGGUAUAUUUUUACAUGUCUGAAUGAACGACUGCCCCAAAUCUCUGUAAACUACAACCCUUCAUGAACUUCUGUUCAAACCAAUGAACACAAGCACACCCCAACAUCAUUACGAGGGGGCCCAGCCAAAGACAGCUGUGAGAAGGCAAAGAAAGAUAGGCGGGCAGGUGCCAUCCCUGGCUGUGACUCUGCAGUAGUGUGAGAGGAAGAAAGCCAGAGAAAGGGAACACGCUCAACGAGCAGAGAAACAUCAAGAAGGCUGACAGUUUUAGAACUGGAGAUGGCUGUGAGUAGCUAAUUAUACAUCCCCAAAAAGGUAUUUGCUGGUACCCUCCACAAGCUUGAGAUAAGUAAUUAGGGUGUUUCUUGGGCCAGGAUAAGGGACAGAUUGCCAGCUUGGAGCAUCUGCGGGACCAGUCCUUAGUGAAUGAACCCAGGGGUUGGGAGGAGGCACUCCCUGAAUGAGAGAGAGUUCAAGCAUCGCCCCUCGAUGCCUGUCCUCCUAGGGUUUGUGGAUAUCUUUGGGCAAGUGUGGAAGAUUGCUGCUCUCUCCUGGGGGAAAUGCCUGUGACUCUAGAGGACAAAACAAAAAACCUCAAGACAACAGUAGGGAAACAUACAUGUGGGGCCAAACUGUUGGGACACAGGUGACACUGACUUCUCACUCCCAGGGUAGAAGCAGCACUUUGGCCUAUAUUUGAGAUCCAGGUAGAGAGAUUGGGGGAGGUGGAAGGGUCGGCGGGGGUGGGGGGUGGGGGGUGGCAGAGGAUGAGCAGGGUAGAAUGGGGAGUGGAGGGCAGAGUUUGGAGCAGCAGGGGUUGGGUAGGAAGAGGUGUUGGUGGGGGUGGGAGUGGAGUGGGUGGGGGUGAGGAGAGAGUGUAGGUAUAUGCCCUGCAGAGUACAAGUCAGAGAGGCCCUGGGGUCCAAGGGAGCAGAAUUAGGGAGAGACUGCAGUUGGGGGUGCCUGUGACUGGAAGGAGACCAGGAGCACCAGUUCCUCUGUGAGGUGGCUCACUGAGGGCUGACUGGGGGGUAGAAGUGUGUCUGGAGGGCCAACGGGGAGGCAACCGAAGAAAAGGUCAUGAGGCUACAUGGGACCUUUGCUCAUGCCAGGUGAAGGGCGUAGUGACAAGACUUCCUCAGGCCCUCACUAGCCUGCUGAAACUUCGGAAGCCACUGGCUGGCUUGCUCCUCCUGGCUUGACAAGAAGGCCUGGGGCUGUACUUGGAAGCUGCUGCCUGGGCCCUGGGGCCAUGAGGGCCAGCAGGUGUACAGCAGCAGCACCUGGCUCCCUGCUUCCCCCUCCCUCUGCAGACUGGGCUCUUCACCCCCAGCGGGGGCCUCCCCUGCAGGCCUCAAUCCCUGCUCUAGGCCCUGUAUGGCUCCCCUCACCCCAGGUCAUCGGCCCUCUUCUUUUCCCUCAAAGCUAAGGCAUCUCCUCUACGCUAAUCUUCUGGUGGUGGUGCCUGGGAGCAGGUACCGGGCACGAGGGGGUGCGUAACCCAAAGUGGACUCAAAGAAAAACGGAAUAAUACAAUUCAACAGAUAACUAAUGUUUGCAGCACAUGGCUAAGAAUGGCAGUGGGUGACCGUGUUGAGGGAGCAGAGCCAACUGGAAGACUUAGGGUCUUGGUCAGCACGAGUGGAUAGUUAUGUGUUUGAUUUAGUUGGGUUUCUGAAACUUCAAUUAGGAGCACAAGUGUGAAAGAAUCCGGAGGAGGGGCAAAGUGUCCACACCUCCUCCUCUCAAUAUCCUGGUGUUCUUUCAGGGAGAAUUGAGAAGGAGGCAAACGGACAUAGCAACAAGCACUGAUAGGUAUUUCAGCACUUAUUGAGCACCUCCAAUGUGGUGACUGUGCCCCAUGUGGGAGGCUCAGUGCCGCCAUUUUCCUCAUUCUAAAACGCCAUUGAUGAUAGGACGCUCAGGCUAUCUAAAAACGGCUUUUGACAGAAAAAGAAAACCUGAGGACUUUAAAUGCACCAUGGAUUUAUCUCAGUCUGAGAAAAAGUGAAACUUAGAAGUGAAGAAAGAAAGUAUAUUAAGUGUAGGUCUCUCCACAGCCCUGAGAAGAAUCAUCCCUACUGUACGGAUGAGUAGACUGAGACGGGGGAAGGUUUCGCCACUUGCUCAAGGCCACAGAGCCAGGAAGUAGCAAUCAGGAUUGGCACCCAGGUUGGCCCUGCUCAGAGCUAGAACAGUUUCUCCUCGGGCACAAGACCCCUCCGCAAGACUGGGCUUUGUCAGCUUUCUCCUGGCCCCUGGUUCUGUCUCUACCCUUCGACCAUCCACACCCCCUCCCCCACCCUCUAAGCUAUGGAGAUUUCCAUGAGGAGAAAGUAAUUCAUGGGGGGAGAAAAGGUACAAAAUAGUCAAAUUACAUUCUUCAGAUUCAAAUAGAGUCUUUAAAAGGGUAAAAACCAUGCAUGCCAGGUUUUGCUGUGCGCUGCAGGAAGUCGAUGAAUUCAAGGAUCCCUGUAUUGCUGAAAAUAGAAUUGUAAAAAAUAAAAGGGGUGGGGGGAGAAAGUGAACGAAACUAAUCCUAUUAAACGUGGUAGCAUGUUUUUGUGGCACGCAGGGAGAGAUUAAGCACAGGAAAGGGGAUAAGUGCGGCU